AAGUGUUUCGGUAGAAAACACACUAAAUAAAAACUAAACAAAAAAUGGUGUCCGCCAAAUCAGAAAGAUCCCACAUGCGUGUGCAGGGCAGUUAAAACACCUUCCUUGUUCCAAAAACAGUCAACAGUCCUGUGAACGGAGUAGCUAUAUGUAAAGCAUUGGCCAACUACUGAUAACGGGCGAACUGUAGAGAGGGACUUCUCUGCGGGCUAGCUAUGACCUGGUCUGUAUUGAAGAGACUUCCGGUUAGGCGGGAUUUUUCAAAAGCACAAGUCUGUCGAUCGCUUUCACCUUCACUGUAUAUAACCGAACGUAACAAAAUAAAUUCCAUAUCAACACGUGCUAGUAAAUUCUGUUUUCUGAACCUACUAUUUCGGUAGAAAUGAUGAACUUCAUACAGUUCUCAAACUUUAAAAGACAUAAAACCCCACGAAACGAUAAUGUAAUCAGUACGCGUGCGCACAACGACCGGAAGUUAGGGGAUCUUGUACCGAAAUCCCGCGUAUUAAUGUUUGCAUAACGAUUAAACCGGCGAACAGAAGAAAGUUUGAAUGAAUAAAAGCCUUCUUUUCAAUUGAUUUACGACAAUAUAUUAUCAGAUGGCGUUCGCAUAAAACAAUUAUUUACUCGAGAUCCAUCAAUAUUUAUCAUCUUUUCAAGACAAACAGAAGUCAUACACAACAGAUAUGAACACUCAUUUUAUAAAUCUAUGGUAGAAUUACUGUGGAAUAUUGGCUCUGAACAGAAUUUUUAUACAAAACGCUCUCAAACUUACAGACUGGAAUUUGUACUAUAAUGAUUUGAUUUUGAAAUUAAAGUUGAAUUACAUAGGAAUUUGCAGCAUCUUCCAAUAUUGACAAAAAUCACAGUUGAUAGAAAUAUAGCCGAAGAAAUAGGAAUAAAAUAUAUAAAUAAAGGGAAGAAGAACUUUUAUAUUUAUUGUGGUGAGAGAGAAACAAGAAUGGAAGACGAAUUGUGUGAGAAAAAGAUUAAAUGUGAAGCAGAGUCUGAAAUUAUUGAUUUCCCUGAG
rnacentral:lncRNA from 1 species